rnacentral:rRNA from 1 species
CCUACGGGAGGCAGCAGUAGGGAAUAUUGCUCAAUGGGGGAAACCCUGAAGCAGCAAAGCCGCGUGGAGGAUGAAGGUUCUCGGAUUGUAAACCCCUUUUGUUAGAGAAGAUAAUGACGGUACCUAACGAUUACUCACCGGCUAACUCCGUGCCAGCAGCCGCGGUAAUACGGAGGGUGCAAGCGUUACUCGGAAUCACUGGGCGUAAAGAGCGCGUAGGCGGGAUAGCAAGUCAGAUGUGAAAUCCUCUGGCUUAACCAUAGAACUGCAUUUGAAACUGGUAGUCUAGAGUGUGGGAGAGGUAGGUGGAAUUCUUGGUGUAGGAGUAAAAUCCGUAGAGAUCAAGAAGAAUACUCAUUGCGAAGGCGGCCUGCUAGAACGUAACUGACGCUGAUGCGCGAAAGCGUGGGGAGCAAACAGGAUUAGAUACCCCGGUAGUC